rnacentral:rRNA from 1 species
UACGUAGGUGGCAAGCGUUGUCCGGAUUUAGCUGGGCGUAAAGGGCUCGUAGGCGGCCAACUAAGUCGGACGUGAAAUCCCCAGGCUCAACCUGGGAACUGCGUCCGAUACUGGAUGGCUUGAAUCCGGGAGAGGGAUGCAGAAUUCCGAGGUGUAGCGGUGAAAUGCGUAGAUAUCGAGAGGAACACCCUGCGGCGAAGGCGGGUAGCUGGGCCGACACUGACGCUGAUGCGCGAAAGCCAGGGGAGGCGAAACGGGG